rnacentral:lncRNA from 1 species
GUUCUGUCCAGUUUAUAUCGUAUAUACAAUAUGUUACCUGGGGCACAUACACUAUGUAUGAUAGUGUUUAGCUUUGUGUUUAGUAUAGUCUGUUUAUACUCUCCAUAGAUCUGCUCAUCUGGUAGACUUGAGAUUAAAUGCCCAACAAUAUACAACAAAGAAUGAUCGAGGUGCCAGAGUUACAUUGUUGAGGUUUUAACAAAGUGGCAGAGAACAUCCUUUUGCUACUCUCAGCCACGACUUCACAAAUUGACCUUGGCACAGGCAGAAAGACACACUGUGUGAUCUACUGUAAAGGCUGGAAGAGUGAAAAUGUAUAUUUGAGAAGAGGCUUGAUGUUUUAUGUGGCUCCAAUAUGUUUGGUGAUAUUUUCCCAGUCUUUACUUUUCUCCUUUUUGACAGACACAGCACACGUGUGGAGAUUUCCCAUCCUGAGUCCCCCACUUCCAGUUGUAUAAAUUGCAUAAAUUCUCAGAGCGAGGAUGUUGAGAGUGUGGAUCUGCAGCUGAGGCUUCACCCAGGAACGGAAGGGAGGCAGAUUCUCAACCCCACCACCUACCUACUUGAAUCAGAGGCUCCGGAGGUGGUGCUGUCAUUGAGAGUUUGUGCAGUUUCCAAGGAGAUUUUGCAGCAAAACUAAGUGAGUAUCAGCACCCUGAGAGGGGCCACAGGUCUACAGUUAACAUUCUACUUAUAGCUUUCUAAUCUCUUGUAACUCACUUCUCCAAAUUGUAUAAAGCUCAGGACUCUCAUCUGGGUCCAUUUCUGGUCUUAACUUUCCCCUCUAACAUUAAAGUCGAGUUUGUUUGAGCCUAUGCAACUUUACAUCUCAUGCAAAUUGUGUGAUUUGGCUAAAAUGUUUGAACUCGACAUGGAACAACAUGAAAAUGUGGGUUACAUGUAGAGAUAGAGAUUCAUAUAUAUACCAAGAACUGAACCUCCAGCUUUCAGUGCACGUGUUCUACAGCAUUGCCCUGGGCUCACAUUGUUCUACAUUGCCCUGGGCUCACAGAUCGGCUACAGCCUGGCACUGUUUGAGGUUGGAAGAGGCCCAGGAAUCAGGCCUCUGAAAGCUGCCACUGCAAACCAGGUAUCUUGAGUGCAGCCACCAUCCCACUUCCACCAAGAUGUCCAGGCCUCCUUGGCUGAAGGGCUCUGCCUGCUUCAUCCAGGUGAAGCUGCUGCGAGGUGAUGCCUGAGUUACCAGUCCACCACAGUUGCAUAAAGACCAGGAGCAGGUUAAGGCAGAAUUGCAAAAUGAUGUUGCUGUCAUAGCCUUGAGGCCCUCCAAUCCCUACACCGACAAGGAAAUACCCAGCGGGUAAGUAGGAGUUGGUGGACAUAGAACAUGAUGUGGAACUCUGUUAUGGUUUGGAUCUUGAAUCACCCCCAAAGUCUUCCUAAUGUGUUAGGGUCUUGGCCCUCAGCUGACGGUGCCACCUGGAAGCCAAGCCCUUGGAGGGGACACUGAGACCCUGACCCUUCCUCUUUCUUUUAGCUUCCCAAUUGCCAUGAGGUGAGCAGGUUUGUCCUGCCACACGACCCCCACCAGGAUGGAACCCAGUGACCACGGACUAAAUAUGAAACCUUGAGGCAAUGUAAGUCUUUCUUCCUUCUAAGUUGAUUAUCUCAGGUAUU